rnacentral:lncRNA from 10 species
GGGUCAGCAGCGAAAGAGGAUUUCUGGGGAUAUGUGUUUCAAAGCCAGUGAUUCUUGGGAAGGAGUACGAACUCCGAUACAAAUACUGGCUCAUCUCUAUACCAUGGACUCUCGAGAACAGCAGUGUUUCACCAGUUAGCAUUUUGUUGCCAGAAAUAAAUCAAAUGGACAAUGGUGCAAAAAUAAAAAUGUUCCUGGAACAACUGGAGGUCUUGCUCAGUUUUCUAGGCUAGAGUACAAUGAUGUGAUCAUAGCCCACUGCAGCUUUGCACUCCUGGCCUCAGG